UGUAAGCGUAUACCAAAGUUGUUGCAGUUAAAACGCUCGUAGUCGGAAUUUGGCAGUUCCGGAUGUGUGCACGUCGUGUGCGCACUUCGCGGGGAUUGCUUUUGUGGUCUUGCGUAGGAUGAGGCACUUUUAUUAGUGAACGUCCUCACGCAACCACUUUUUACUGUGAGAAAAUCAGAGUGCUCAAAGCAGGCAUUUGCCGUGAAUGUAUUAGCAUGGAAUAAUAGAAUAGGACUUGGUUCUAUUUUGUUGGUUUGUUGGGACUGAGUAAUGAUUAAGAGGGACAGUUGGGGGCAUUUGUAUUUCGGAGCUAGAGGUGAAAUUCUUAGAUUACCGAAAGACAAACUGCUGCGAAAGCGUCUGCCAAGGAUGUUUUCAUUGA
rnacentral:rRNA from 1 species